rnacentral:rRNA from 1 species
UACGGAGGGUGCAAGCGUUAUCCGGAUUCACUGGGUUUAAAGGGUGCGUAGGCGGAUAGGUAAGUCCGUGGUGAAAUCCUGCAGCUUAACUGCAGAACUGCCAUGGAUACUAUUUGUCUUGAAUAUUGUGGAGGUAAGCGGAAUAUGUCAUGCAGCGGUGAAAUGCUUAGAUAUGACAUAGAACACCCAUUGCGAAGGCAGCUUACUACGCAAUUAUUGACGCUGAGGCACGAAAGCGUGGGGAUCAAACAGG